CGGAAGUCAGAAGGAGCGCUAAGAAAUUUGAUUAGAGAAAAAGUGAGAAAGUCAGAAGAAGUGACGAAAAAUUGGGAUAGAGAAAAAAUUAGAAAAAGUAUUAGUAAAUCAGAAAAACCAGUAUCCUUCCAAAACACCAAUGAGGUUAGUCCUAUGUCGGAGCUUUGUUCAGAGUUCGAAAAUUGCAAGUGAAAUCCCCCGUGCCCGAAGCUCUCCAGGAGCCAAAUAUAAGGACAGAGAAUAGCAUUCAAGGCCUGCAUUCAAGUCUGGUGAAUGGAGAUUCUUGGAAAUCUCAAGAGAAAUCAAAGCUUGAGACUCCCGACAUGUGUUCAGCCAAUGAACUGCCUUCAUCAUCUACUAAUAUGCCUUAUUUAUGUGUCGAAAAGUCUUGCCUGGUUUUUGCAAAAAGAAUUGGUGACAUUCUCCUUUCAAAUCAAAGCAACAAUAACUCGAAAAAAUUCGCCUCAGAAAAUGCGCUGAAAACCUAUCUACUCCAAGAAGUAAAACAUAUCAGCUCUCUAAUCGGCAACUAUAUUGAUGACUCAGCAUUCAACGGUGUCCAGUUUUCCCUGCUACAUCACAGAUUGGCAACAAGGAUUGUCAGUUACCUUAUAGCUCAUCCAGAAAAGCUUAGCGACGUGUGUAAGGAUUUAGAAGGACUACUAGACACUGACAGCAGUGAGCCAAUGGAAAUUUGUUCAACGCCACCAUCACGAAACAGUAGAUUGAAGAUGCAAGAUGAAACAGUAUUACAAUGUUUAAUCCAGCAGUGUUCGACUAUUCUAAGUGCGUUUCUUGGGAAGGACUCGGGCGACGCAACCCUCUCUGCCAACUGCUCUCUCUUAGCUGAAGCGGAAGUUCAAGAUCAGUGGGAGUUAUCGGAGCAUUGCCAGUGUGCCUUUAUCAAAGGUUCCAUUUCACCACCGAGACGACAUCGGAAUAGAAUGCGGAAUAGUUUUAAAUCCAAUCAAAGGCCCGUAUCAGCUCUCAUUUCAUCUCUUGGAAAAGAUCCAGAAGAGAAAUCUAACUGCGGAAGUGAAGAGCAAAGUGGUUUGAGCUCACCACCUGGGUUUGAAUUCUCUGAAAGCAGCGGCGAGUCUGAAGAGGAGUGGUACGAGCCUUCAGCACCAACGGAUACAGUUGACGCAAUUUCCACUGUAAAAACGAAAAAUGACGACGUAGAGCCCAUGAGUGUGCCAGCUUUGGCUCCUGAACUCUAUAUUGACGAUUCUGGCCCUUGCAAGUUGGACCUUGACGUUUUCGAAGCCAUCGGAGACAUUGAAUUAGAUUUAACAAAGUACCCUGUUACCAAUUACUGGAAAUUUUGCAUCACAAGUCAUUCUUUGGAAGAAAGAGAAAAGUGGAAAAAAAGGAGACCUGACAUGUAGCCCCUGUUUGAUUGCCGCAACAAUUUUACCAAUCACCUCUAUUUUUUACCAAGCUGCUCAUCCUUUUUACCCUCUUUUUUAAGAUUGAUCUGUCGGAUUGUGUGAUAAACCUUUUGUAAUAUCUUCCUUUUGGAUAAGCCCUACUCUGUUGAACCAAUGGACUGUUACUUACUUUUAUUGUUUUACUUGUUUUAGGAAAUUUGUACGUUUGUAUUUGUUCAUUAAGAAAAUUGAUAAUUACCAAUAAAAUAUUUUUUUUAACUUUCCAAGGAAGCAAA
rnacentral:lncRNA from 1 species